AAGGCUCCCUAUUUUUCAAGUGCCUAUUAGACUAGCGCCGGGCAAAUAAUGCUCCAGUGAUCUCCUUUACCAGUCCCUUUGCCGAGUGCUCCGCUAGGAACUCUACUGGACUAUCCGGACUCCAUUGAAAUUUUAUGAUUUCAUGUGAAUGAUGGCUAGGUUUCUACAUAUAGUGCGUGAAACUCUGUCAAAUUUUUAUCACACUUCUACAUAUAAUAUCAUGAUAUGUCAAC
rnacentral:lncRNA from 7 species